AACUUAAAGGAAUUGACGGGGGCCCGCACAAGCGGUGGAGCAUGUGGUUUAAUUCGAUGAUACGCGAGGAACCUUACCUGGGCUUAAAUGGGGAGUGACAGCUGUCGAAAGAUGGUUUUCUUCGGACACUCUUCAAGGUGCUGCAUGGUUGUCGUCAGCUCGUGCCGUGAGGUGUCGGGUUAAGUCCCAUAACGAGCGCAACCCUUACCGUUAGUUACCAUCAGGUUAAGCUGGGGACUCUAGCGGGACUGCCACCGUAAGGUGAGAGGAAGGUGGGGAUGACGUCAAAUCAGCACGGCCCUUAUGUCCAGGGCUACACACGUGUUACAAUGGCCGGUACAAAGGGCAGCUACUUCGCGAGAAGAUGCUAAUCUCGAAAGCCGGUCUCAGUUCGGAUCGAAGUCUGCAACCCGACUUCGUGAAGCUGGAUUCGCUAGUAAUCGCGCAUCAGCCAUGGCGCGGUGAAUACGUUCCCGGGCCUU
rnacentral:rRNA from 1 species